rnacentral:rRNA from 1 species
UUGAACGCUGGCGGCAUGCCUUACACAUGCAAGUCGAACGGCAGCGCGGACUUCGGUCUGGCGGCGAGUGGCGAACGGGUGAGUAAUACAUCGGAACGUACCCUGUUGUGGGGGAUAACUAGUCGAAAGAUUAGCUAAUACCGCAUACGACCUGAGGGUGAAAGUGGGGGACCGCAAGGCCUCACGCAGCAGGAGCGGCCGAUGUCUGAUUAGCUAGUUGGUGGGGUAAAGGCCCACCAAGGCGACGAUCAGUAGCUAGUCUGAGAGGACGAUCAGCCACACUGGGACUGAGACACGGCCCAGACUCCUACGGGAGGCAGCAGUGGGGAAUUUUGGACAAUGGGGGCAACCCUGAUCCAGCAAUGCCGCGUGUGUGAAGAAGGCCUUCGGGUUGUAAAGCACUUUUGUCCGGAAAGAAAUCGCGCUGGUUAAUACCUGGCGUGGAUGACGGUACCGGAAGAAUAAGCACCGGCUAACUACGUG